rnacentral:snoRNA from 1 species
ACUUCAUGAUUUGGGUAUUGGGCUAAUUUUCCAUUAAACUGUUCCCAAGCUUCAAACAAUGACUCUCCAUUUAUUUGCCAAAAAUUAAUAAUCUCGUCCCUCUUUU